GAUUUUUCGUCUGCUGGUAUAGAUAUAAGUAAACCUGUAAUUACUCACUGUAACAGUGGAAUGUCUUCAUGUGGUCUAUGUUUCAUCCUCCAUUUGUGUGGUUGUCCUGGUACCUCAGUAUUUCUGGGAGGAUUCACAGAAUGGAAAGAUAAAGCUCCAAAGGAACUUAUUCAGAAAGUCAGCUAGACAGAAUCCCGCAAAGCAGAAAUAAGAUACAAUUAUGCAAACAUUCCAAUUUACAUAACACGUAUCCAAUCAUAAUAAACUUCUGGUGAAAAUAUUGAAAAUAAUUUAUUUGGUCGAUUGAACAAAAAUCAACUAUCGCAGAAUUCGAAUACAUGUAGUUUAAAAUAAAGCACAAAAGGUGAUAAUGUGUUAUCGCUAUUUUGUGCAUUUUUCCUUU